rnacentral:rRNA from 1 species
GACCGAGGGUGCAAACGUUGUUCGGCAUUACUGGGCGUAAAGCGCGUGUAGGCGGCAGGGCAUGUCGGAUGUGAAAUCCCGUGGCUCAACCACGGAAGUGCACCCGAAACUGCCCAGCUUGAGUCUCGGAGAGGAAGGCGGAAUGCUUGGUGUAGAGGUGAAAUUCGUAGAUAUCAAGCGGAACACCGGUGGCGAAGGCGGCCUUCUGGACGAUGACUGACGCUGAGACGCGAAAGCGUGGGGAGCAAACAGG